rnacentral:rRNA from 1 species
AUUGAACGCUGGCGGCAGGCUUAACACAUGCAAGUCGAGCGGGGUGAUGGUGCUUGCACUAUCACUUAGCGGCGGACGGGUGAGUAAUGCUUAGGAAUCUGCCUAUUAGUGGGGGACAACAUCUCGAAAGGGAUGCUAAUACCGCAUACGUCCUACGGGAGAAAGCAGGGGAUCACUUGUGACCUUGCGCUAAUAGAUGAACCUAAGUCGGAUUAGCUAGUUGGUGGGGUAAAGGCCUACCAAGGCGACGAUCUGUAGCGGGUCUGAGAGGAUUGUCCGCCACACUGGGACUGAGACACGGCCCAGACUCCUACGGGAGGCAGCAGUGGGGAAUAUUGGACAAUGGGGGGAACCCUGAUCCAGCCAUGCCGCGUGUGUGAAGAAGGCCUUAUGGUUGUAAAGCACUUUAAGCGAGGAGGAGGCUCUUUUGGUUAAUACCCAAGAUGAGUGGACGUUACUCGCAGAAUAAGCACCGGCUAACUCUGUGCCAGCCGCCGCAGUAA